rnacentral:rRNA from 1 species
UACGUAGGGUGCAAGCGUUGUCCGGAAUUAUUGGGCGUAAAGGGCUCGUAGGCGGUUUGUCGCGUCGGGAGUGAAAACCAGGUGCUUAACACCUGGCUUGCUUUCGAUACGGGCAGACUAGAGGUAUUCAGGGGAGAACGGAAUUCCUGGUGUAGCGGUGAAAUGCGCAGAUACCAGGAGGAACACCGGUGGCGAAGGCGGUUCUCUGGGAAUGACCUGACGCUGAGGAGCGAAAGUGUGGGGAGCGAACAGG